rnacentral:tRNA from 1 species
GCGGGCGUAGUUCAAUGGUAGAACGGCAGCUUNNGCAUACGAGGGUUCGAUUCCCUUCGCCCGCU